GCUGUAUUAAUUGCUAGGGGAGGCUAGGGAUAACAAGCCAGUAAUUAGUAUUAGGCUCUUUUCGCCGAGGGAUCAGGUUAAGGGUAGGCUAAGAAAGUUGCAUGACAAUUAAUUAAUCAAGCUAAUAAUUCAAGAGGAGUAGAUAAGAGAGAGCAGAUAAGGAUGAAAUUGUAAACCCCCAACAACUCCAUUCAUCCAUUGUUUUCUUCUUGUCAUUUGAAUCAAUCUCUUUUACAUGUUCAUAUUUUAUUCUCGUAAUCAAUUUAUUAAUUUUUAUUUUCAAGUCUUAUUAUUUUAAUUCAC
rnacentral:lncRNA from 1 species